rnacentral:tRNA from 1 species
GGUUGUGGCUCAGUGGUAGAGUGCUUGCCUAGCACAUAUAAGGCACUGGGUUUGAUCCUCAGCACCA